GAUGAACGCUGGCGGCGUGCCUAAUACAUGCAAGUCGAGCGAGCAGACGAGGAGCUUGCUCCUUUGACGUUAGCGGCGGACGGGUGAGUAACACGUGGAUAACCUACCUAUAAGACUGGGAUAACUUCGGGAAACCGGAGCUAAUACCGGAUAACAUGUUGAACCGCAUGGUUCAACAGUGAAAGACGGUCUUGCUGUCACUUAUAGAUGGAUCCGCGCCGCAUUAGCUAGUUGGUAAGGUAACGGCUUACCAAGGCAACGAUGCGUAGCCGACCUGAGAGGGUGAUCGGCCACACUGGAACUGAGACACGGUCCAGACUCCUACGGGAGGCAGCAGUAGGGAAUCUUCCGCAAUGGGCGAAAGCCUGACGGAGCAACGCCGCGUGAGUGAAGAAGGUCUUCGGAUCGUAAAACUCUGUUAUUAGGGAAGAACAAAUGUGUAAGUAACUAUGCACGUCUUGACGGUACCUAAUCAGAAAGCCACGGCUAGCUACGUG
rnacentral:rRNA from 1 species